rnacentral:rRNA from 1 species
GAUGAACGCUAGCGAUAGGCUUAACACAUGCAAGUCGAGGGGUAACGUGUUGGAAGCUUGCUUCCGAUGACGACGACCGGCGGAUGGGUGCGUAACGCGUAUGCAACUUGCCUCACAGUGGAGAAUAACCCGGAGAAAUCCGGACUAAUGCUCCAUACACUCUUAAGUACGCCUGUACAUGAGAGGAAAGAUUUAUCGCUGUGAGAUAGGCAUGCGUCCUAUUAGGUAGUUGGUGAGGUAACGGCUCACCAAGCCGACGAUAGGUAGGGGUGCUGAGAGGCAGAUCCCCCACAUUGGGACUGAGACACGGCCCAAACUCCUACGGGAGGCAGCAGUGAGGAAUAUUGGUCAAUGGAGGAAACUCUGAACCAGCCAAGUCGCGUGAAGGAAGAAUGUCCUAAGGAUUGUAAACUUCUUUAGCGAGUGAGUAAGGACUUCCACGUGAUGGGAGUUUGAAAGUAGCUCGAGAAUAAGUAUCGGCUAACUCCGUGCCAGCAGCCGCGGGUAUACNGAGGAUACGAGCGUUAUCCGGAUUUAUUGGGUUAAAGGGUGCGCAGGUGGUCUUGCAGUCAGUGGUGAAAAGCUGAGGCUCAACCUCAGCCUUGCCGUUGAAACUGUAAGACUUGAGAGUACAUGAUGUGGGCGGAAUGCGUAGUGUAGCGGUGAAAUGCAUAGAUAUUACGCAGAACUCCGAUUGCGAAGGCAGCUCACAAAGGUAUAUCUGACACUGAGGCACGAAAGCGUGGGGAGCGAACAGGAUUAGAUACCCUGGUAGUCCACGCCGUAAACGAUGAUUACUCGAAGUAUGCGAUAUGACAGUAUGCUUCCAAGCGAAAGUGAUAAGUAAUCCACCUGGGGAGUACGCCGGCAACGGUGAAACUCAAAGGAAUUGACGGGGGCCCGCACAAGCGGAGGAACAUGUGGUUUAAUUCGAUGAUACGCGAGGAACCUUACCCGGGAUUGAAAUGUAUGUGCGCCUCUUGGGAAACCGAGAGGGUUCUCUUCGGAGACACAUAUGUAGGUGCUGCAUGGUUGUCGUCAGCUCGUGCCGUGAGGUGUCGGCUUAAGUGCCAUAACGAGCGCAACCCUUAUCGUCAGUUACUAACAGGUUAAGCUGAGGACUCUGGCGAGACUGCCGUCGUAAGGCGAGAGGAAGGUGGGGAUGACGUCAAAUCAGCACGGCCCUUACAUCCGGGGCGACACACGUGUUACAAUGGUAGGGACAGAGAGUAGCCACUCGGUGACGAGGAGCGGAUCUUGAAACCCUAUCUCAGUUCGGAUCGGAGUCUGCAACUCGACUCCGUGAAGCCGGAUUCGCUAGUAAUCGCGCAUCAGCCAUGGCGCGGUGAAUACGUUCCCGGGCCU